rnacentral:rRNA from 1 species
GUAGGGAAUCUUCGGCAAUGGGGGCAACCCUGACCGAGCAACGCCGCGUGAGUGAAGAAGGUUUUCGGAUCGUAAAGCUCUGUUGUAAGAGAAGAACGUGUGUGAGAGUGGAAAGUUCACACAGUGACGGUAACUUACCAGAAAGGGACGGCUAACUACGUGCCAC